CAAGAACUCAGGUGAUACAAGGAUCUCCCAGGGUGGAAAAGGUUUCAUAUUUCCAGUAUAGUUUGGAUACACCCUUUGUUGUUUACCAUCUGAAAAUUUUGGCCUUUCUGUUCUGAGUUUCCACAACUGAACUGUGCACUGAAAUUUUUAAGCUGUGUCGAUAACAGAGUGCAUGUUUGCAGAGUGGGAUGGGCAUUCCCGUCUCUCCGGCUAGGAAAAGCCACGUUCAAAGCUCACUGUGUUGCGGUCCGAAGCCGCACUUACCUCGGGCCCCCUCUGGGCACAGGAUCGCUCAAGACCCGGGAAAAGUCUGCGAGAGAAAAUCGUGGAGAGCCUGGAGCCAGCGCGAGUCCGCGCGUCGGGCGCGCCGGGAGCGGAGGGGCGUCCUCGCUCUGCCUCUCACUCACUCGGUCUGAGCCAUCAUGGACUCUGCGUGCGCCUUUGCUGAGGAUUUCACACCCAAAUUUGCUUCCCAAUCUCCAAUCUGCAGCUAUACAACAAAAGAUUUCUCUUUACCAAGACAGUAGUAAUACGUCCCAGGGCAAACCGGAUGUGAAAUAGGCGGUGACUUCAUGCCAGAGAGAUUUUAUUUUAGAAAGGAAGGUGGUACCAGCCUCUGGAGCUGGAGACCAAUCCGCCCAUUUUUUAUAUGCAGCACAAUUUAACUUGCACCGCUCUGGCCCUAAUCCCCUUCUCUCUAGCUGCAGACUCAAAUCCUUCUACAAUCUGCUGCAAGCGUUCCCCUUUUUUUUUUGGGGGGGUGGAGUAGAAAUAGGGGGAGGGAAGUAGAAAGGUACUACACUCAGAAUCUUCACACUUUGAAUUUCUGUACCCUGUUUAAGGUGUGUCCAUUAAAAAGAAAGCUGUUCAUUGCAAAUAUUCCACCUUUGAUCAAAUAUUUAACUAAUGAAUGCUUGUGAAUAAAUGCAAGCUAGGGAACAGGGAGAUGCAGGGUUACACAUGUGGAGAACACACCGUCCUCUCGCUUCCCUCCCUCACACGCACUCCCACAUACAUGUCUAAAUCCCUGUGCCUUGCACAGUCACGAAAGAUGAGAGAUGGUAGGGGAGAGUUCUGGGCAGCAGGGAUUUGGCCACCAGGUGUAGAGAGUCCUUCGCACUUUCACAGGUUGUGAGCGCUUCCACCCCACCUUCUGUCUGAGCUUAAAGGACAGCGAGAACGCGCUCAGAAUGUUUUUUUGGUCUUUGGUGGCAACUGUUUUCGGUUUUUGUGAUGUUGGAGAAAACACGGGCUUCUUUAAACAUGAAUUGCGCUGGUUUCUUAGGACGAGGAGUAUUCAACUUUAAAUAAAUCGCUCCGUUCAUUUCUAGGCUUGAAAUUCACAUCUCCAUUUCCGGAACCCGUCCCCUUGCCUUGAACUCAGUCAUUCUCGGAUUUAGGAAAAUGGGAGUGGGGGAGGAGAGAUUAACAGAAGGGUUUUUAGAAGUCGGGACAAAGCUACCGUCUCCUUUCUUUAAAUUUUUUUUUUUCCUCUUUGCCCUCUCCUCUUACCCUCCCUGGUGGCUCUCCACCCACGUAUAAUUAUACACUUAGGGAAUGAGGGUGUGUCUCAGCAUCAGUCUCACGAAAUUUCCAAGGCAUCAGGGAUGACUGAGGUUCUCGGAUUUUGUGAAUGGAGGUGUGUAGCAGAAAGGAGGUGAGUGUAGUCUUCCUGGGAAAAGUACUUAAAAUGACCAGAGCACGGGAGCUGUCCCUUUCAGCACUCGUGCCCACUCUAGAGGAAAGGUGCUGGGAAGAAGUGGUGGCUCCCUGUGAUGCCUAUGGUGAAUGAGCUCUAACUUACCUAGCCCUUUCACGCAAGAGAAGUGGCAGCAGAAGAGAUGUUUUGAGUGGAGGCAGAGCCCAGUCAAGUGAAAAAAUUAAAAUGGUCAGUCCAUACCACUUACAGAGUUUUGAUUCUACAAGUGUUUCAUGACCCUGUGAUGUGAUGCAAGCAGCUUAUAUGAUGAAAACUUAAGGCAGGUGGUUGCAAUUGUAAGGAAUGUAAAAUUGAAGACCACAUUUAAAGUUGAGCUUGGUUAUGUGUU